UGACCUGUCUGUCUGCUUUGUUUAAGGGUAUCUGCAGCUGUGAAGGGAUCAACGUGCACAAAGGCGCUCUGGUGGCAGAGAGGGUUUUUGGAAAAUUGAGGCUCAACCGGUAACUCUUACUUAGACAUUCAAGGUAGAAGCCUAUUCAUAUUAUUUUUUCUACGGAGUGAUACAGAGACAUCCAAUAGCUGUCUGAGGAAAAGGAAGGAAUAAAUGUUGCUGUUCUUAAGACCUGCAAACUUAAGAGAUGCAGGGAGAUGAGAGUACAUGAAGAGGACUACCCCUGUGUAUGCAAGGUUCAGGUGUAGCAAGAUGAAACAUAAAAACAGCCAAACCAUCUUGCUGUGUGCUCCAGACUCAAAUGAGGAAGCUGCUGGUCUCUGCUCUACUGAAGAUUGGGUUCAAGUUCCCUUUCCCCCUAUAAUUGCCCCCUAAACUCUGGAAGAAUCAGUUGUUCAGUCAGAUGAUGAAGCUGGACAAAAUGUGCCUAAUGAGGCAGAAGUUGGUUCCUUGUUCCCAGUUCCUUAUUCCUUUUUCAAAGCUAGUCCUUACACAAUUAAAGGCUGUUAAUAACUAAUAAAUUCCACAGGCUAAAGA